rnacentral:rRNA from 1 species
GUGGGGAAUUUUGGACAAUGGGGGAAACCCUGAUCCAGCAACGCUGCGUGGAGGACGAAGGCCUAUUGGUCGUAAACUCCUUUUGCAGGGGACGAAUGUGCGGAGCAAUCCGUACUUGACGGUACUCUGCGAAUAAGCCACGGCUAACUAUGUGCCAGCAGCCGCGGUAAGACAUAGGUGGCAAGCGUUACUCGGAAUUACUAGGCGUAAAGCGCGUGUAGGCGGAUGCUUAAGUCUGUUGUUUAAUCUCCCGGCUCAACCGGGAAAGGUCAGCGGAUACUGGGCAUCUGGAGUGGGACAGAGGAAGCUGGAAUUCCCGGUGUAGCGGUGAAAUGCGUAGAUAUCGGGAAGAACACCGGCGGCGAAGGCGGGCUUCUGGGUCCUUACUGACGCUGAGACGCGAAAGCUAGGGGAGCAAACAGGAUUAGAAACCCCAGUAGUCC